rnacentral:tRNA from 2 species
UCCCCGGUAGCUCAGCGGUAGAGCAUUCGGCUGUUAACCGAACGGUCCGCGGUUCGAAUCCGUGCCGGGGAGCCA